AGUGAACGCUGGCGGCAGGCCUAACACAUGCAAGUCGAACGGCAGCACAGUAAGAGCUUGCUCUUACGGGUGGCGAGUGGCGGAUGGGUGAGGAAUACAUCGGAAUCUACUUUUUCGCGGGGGCUAACGUAGUGAAACUUACGCCAAUACCGCAUACGACCUACGGGUGAAAGCAGGGCAUCUUUGGACCUUGCGCGAUUGAAUGAGCCGAUGUCGGAUUUGCUAGUUGGCGGGGUAAAGGCCCACCAAGGCGACGAUCCGUAGCUGGUCUGAGAGGAUGAUCAGCCACACUGGAACUGAGACACGGUCCAGACUCCUACGGGAGGCAGCAGUGGGGAAUAUUGGACAAUGGGCGCAAGCCUGAUCCAGCCAUGCCGCGUGCGUGAAGAAGGCCUUCGGGUUGUAAAGCCCUUUUGUUAGGGAAGAAAAGCAGCAGGUUAAUACCCCGCUGUUCUGACGGUACCCAAAGAAUAAGCACCGGCUAACUUCGUG
rnacentral:rRNA from 1 species